ACAUCAUCUUGUCCAAUCAGAUGAAAACGGACAUUCCCAAGCUAUCCCCAUUGUACCAGACAUCACAGAUAGAGGCAUGCCAUAGUACUGUCAACCACAUUGCCCCAAAAUGGUGGCCUUUUCUUACUAUGGCAUGUACUGCAGAUUAAUCAACUAAUAAACAGAAGAAAAGGAAGGCUUUAACAGAAACAAGGGCAGGGAGGGAUCUUUAUUGUGCUACACCUGCUGUGACACGGGACCUCGGUUUUUGCGGUCUCAUCCGAAGGACCACCCCCAUUUACUCGCCUUUUACGAAAAACAAGGGGUACUGAGGACCUAUUCUAACGCGGAUCCCACGGGACGUAUAUCAAAGUAUCAAUGUGUUGGUGGCUGUUAUGAAGAGAAUGGGCCCAUUUUAACAACUUCUAGGAUGGGCAGUACAAGGGUUCAUACCAGUGAUCAAUUUCUCAUGACUCUUAUGAAGUUGCACCAAAAUCUAAAUCUACAUUUAGCAGGCCAGAGGGUUCAAUGCCGAAUUUACCUCUGAAAGAAUCGCAAUGGAUACAACAAACAUAACACUGGAUUUAACUUUAAAAUUGAAUAACUAGUCAUUAUCUGACAGCAACUACAUUGUGUAAAAUUUGUCACACAGCAAAGGCUAUCACUUGUGCAGCACAAUUGUUCUGAAUUAUAUCCUGGAUCCACCUCUGGUGGUGACAUUGUUGAUCACUGAGGUGUAUUGGAGAUGUUGAAGCCAGAUGAUAUAUGAUUCUGGCUAAUAAAGGAUUUGAUAUAUUUGAUAAACUUUAAUCAGGAGUGGCAUUGACCAUAUCACCUUCUCUAUCAUCAAAAUCUCAUUUCAGUAAGGAUGAAGCACAGCUGUUACCAGGACGAGUCAAAUGCAUGUGGAGUGUGCAAUUGAAUAAUAAAAACAUCCAUAUUCUAAAUCAUAUACCUUCACAAUACACACAUAUAUAUCUGUCCACUAAGAUUUUCAACUCUGUGUGACUCUUGUACAUUUGCAAAUCCUCUACUGAAGGAAAUAGCUGAUAUGAAUUCCACAAUUUAUUAAAUCUUACAUUUGGACUUAGAUACUAUAAAUGUACAACUUCUUACUCAUAUUAUUCUGUAUUGUCAAGUUGUAUUAAAUGCAUUCAAGUAAAUGAUAAAGUGAACAUUUAUUUAAGGUUACUAGUCAAAGCAAUUAUUACAAUGGUGAUUCAUGCACAUCUUUACACUGAUCAUUUGUUACAGCAAAAACAAAAUAAAACUAAU